AAUGAACGUUGGCGGCGUGGAUUAGGCAUGCGAGUCGCGCGAGAAUCGUAGCAAUACGAGGAAAGCGGCGAAAGGGAGAGGAAUACGUAGAAAUCUGCCCUCGGGACUGGGAUAGCGGCGGGAAACUGCCGGUAAUACCAGAUAAAGUCUUCGGACUAAAGGUGUGAUCCCGCCUGAGGAUGAGUCUACGACCUAUUAGCUUGUUGGCGGGGUAAUGGCCCACCAAGGCGACGAGGGGUAGCAGGUGUGAGAGCACGACCUGCCUCAUUGGGACUGAGACACUGCCCAGACACCUACGGGUGGCUGCAGUCGAGAAUCUUCGGCAAUGGACGAAAGUCUGACCGAGCGACGCCGCGUGCGGGAUGAAGGCCUUCGGGUUGUAAACCGCUGUCGUAGGGAACCAAAUUCACGGGGGUUCUCCCCUGUGAUUGAGAGAACCUAGGAGGAAGGAGAGGCUAAGCUCGUGCCAGCCGCCGCAGUAAUAC
rnacentral:rRNA from 1 species